rnacentral:tRNA from 1 species
UCCCUGAUGGUCCAGUGGCUAAGACUCUGCACUCCCAGUGCAAGGGGCCAGGGUUCAAUCCCUGGUCAGGGUA